AGAACAAACCCUAGGUGGGAAAUAUCAAAGAGAAAGUGUUGGAAUUCAAGGAUUUGAUCAAGCAAAAGUAAAAUUUCUUUGAUUUUGCUAGUGAUUUACCUUACCCAUGCAUUUUUCCUUAAUUUCCAUGGUUAAAUUACAUGUUUUCAUGAUGAAAUUAUGGCUGGUCAAAAUGGGUAUGGAGAGAGAAAGAUGUUGGAAUUGUUUGAUUUUGAGUUAUGUUGGUGUUUAGAGUUAAUUAAACAUGUUUAGAAACAAAACAAUAAGAAAAGAAUCCAUUUUCCCCAUGAACCUUCAAUGGCCGAAAGUUCCAAGAAGAAAAGUGAAGAUAAAUUUGCCUAAUUGUGUGUUAAUUAGUUGUGCUUGGUGAAUUAAGGGAUUGGAAAAGAAAUGGAGAAAAUUGGAGUGAAAUUGGACGAAUUGGCCAAUUUAUUGGAUGAAAAAUCGACUUAGGUCAAUACCGGGUCUAGAUGGCUACCUAUGCAUUUUUCAUUUCAUAUCAUGCAUAUAUAUCGAGCCUGAAAUAGCUUAUGACUGUUAGACACAAUUUAAUUGAAAUAUGUGCCAUGGAUUAUGGCUAGGUGAGCCAUUAGAUACGGGUAAAGGACUGUACCCGCGGACUGAAAAUAGGAGUAUAUCGACUCCUAGAACAGUGAGUAAACUUACUAUCGUCUUAAUUAUCUAGAGUAGAUUUAUUUAAUUGUGUGAUUCUAUGGAAAAAUGGUUUAAUUGGAAAAUUAUUGUGUUUUAUGGGAAAAUGAGAUUUUAUAAAAUUAUUUUAUAAAAUUUUUAAAAAUUUAAUAAUGAUUUCAAAAAUAGAGUAAUUGGAGACCUAUACUAUGAUUGUGUUGUUUAUCCAUGAUUUUCAUUAAAUGGCUUAUGAUAAAUGUGGGUAUGACAAGUUAUUUUUAUGAUUUAAAGAAUAUGUGAACUGCUUUGAUUUGCCUUGAAUGUGUUAAGUGAGCCAUGUCAUACUAUUGUGAUUUUAUUGGUUGGUGGAUUAUAAAGUGGGCACUGUAGUGACGGGGGUUCCGUGGGCUAGCCUAAUUAGAGGGGCACGGUUCCCAAUUAUUGAGCUUACCUCGAUUGGAAAGGCGCAUAGGAUAACUCCCGAGGUAGGAUUUGAGUACACUUCACGCUGGCCAUCACGUGAAACUAGGACUCAGCCAAUGCCGAGGAACAGUUGUGUUGUCAGAGGUGAAAUGUGUUUGUGUAUGUGACAUAAACAGCCUUGGCGGUCUCGGUAAGAUGCCUUCGCAGGGUAUCCCCGAGAAUGGAUUUUUGGCAAGGGCCAAGUUUUUGAAAAGUGCAUAAGCCAUGUUGAGUAAUUGGAUGAAAUCCAAUUAUUUAUAUGGGUUGGGAUGAAUUAUUUUAAUUGUCUCCUAUUACUCGGCUUUAGAUUAUUUUGAUGAUGUCUGUCUACUCACUGGGAUUUUAUAAUCUCACCCCUUCUUCCUAUCCAUUUUUCAGGCUCAGGACAAUUUGUUGAUAGUUGAUUAAGACGAGAAUUAAUCUCGGAGUUGCAUCUUAGAAAGUAAGGGUUCGUAACCCUACAUUUUCUUAGUCAGUUGGGGGCUCACGUGUCACUGUAAAAGAAAUUUUAUUCUUCAGUUAUUUAAUUUAAAAUAUGUAUGAAUAUAUUUAGCUUUUACACCAUGUUUUUGGCGAGUUUUGAUAUUUUUGAAGAAAAAUGACGAAAAUGCCCUUGUGAGCCAGAAAGUAAUAUUUUAUUAUUUUGAUUUGGAAAUGACUUAUGAUUUUUUUUGAAAUGUGAGAUUUAAUAACU
rnacentral:lncRNA from 1 species